rnacentral:rRNA from 1 species
GGGCGUUAAGUUGCAGGGUAUAGACCCGAAACCCGGUGAUCUAGCCAUGGGCAGGUUGAAGGUUGGGUAACACUAACUGGAGGACCGAACCGACUAAUGUUGAAAAAUUAGCGGAUGACCUGUGGCUGGGGGUGAAAGGCCAAUCAAACCGGGAGAUAGCUGGUUCUCCCCGAAAGCUAUUUAGGUAGCGCCUCGUGAAUUCAUCUCCGGGGGUAGAGCACUGUUUCGGCUAGGGGGCCAUCCCGGCUUACCAACCCGAUGCAAACUGCGAAUACCGGAGAAUGUUAUCACGGGAGACACACGGCGGGUGCUAACGUCCGUCGUGAAGAGGGAAACAACCCAGACCGCCAGCUAAGGUCCCAAAGUCAUGGUUAAGUGGGAAACGAUGUGGGAAGGCCCAGACAGCCAGGAUGUUGGCUUAGAAGCAGCCAUCAUUUAAAGAAAGCGUAAUAGCUCACUGGUCGAGUCGGCCUGCGCGGAAGAUGUAACGGGGCUAAACCAUGCACCGAAGCUGCGGCAGCGAACGUAUCACCCAAGACAACUUUACGGAGUUGACGAUUGACGGAGCGAAGCGACGUCAAAGCGUUCAUUAAAGUCGAGUUGGCUUAGGGAUACGUUCGUUGGGUAGGGGAGCGUUCUGUAAGCCUGUGAAGGUGUGUCGUGAGG